rnacentral:rRNA from 1 species
AGUUUGAUCAUGGCUCAGAUUGAACGCUGGCGGCAUGCCUUACACAUGUAAGUCGAACGGCAGCACGGGAGCUUGCUCCUGGUGGCGAGUGGCGAACGGGUGAGUAAUACAUCGGAACGUACCCUGAAGUGGGGAUAACGUAGCGAAAGUUACGCUAAUACCGCAUAUUCUGUGAGCAGGAAAGAGGGGGAUCGCAAGACCUCUUGCUUUAGGAGCGGCCGAUGUCGGAUUAGCUAGUUGGUGAGGUAAAGGCUCACCAAGGCGACGAUCCGUAGCGGGUCUGAGAGGAUGAUCCGCCACACUGGGACUGAGACACGGCCCAGACUCCUACGGGAGGCAGCAGUGGGGAAUUUUGGACAAUGGGCGCAAGCCUGAUCCAGCCAUGCCGCGUGAGUGAAGAAGGCCUUCGGGUUGUAAAGCUCUUUCGGUGGGGAAGAAAUUGCUUCGGUUAAUACCUGGAGUAGAUGACGGUGCCCGCAUAAGAAGCACCGGCUAACUACGUG